AUCUCUGUCUGGUUCAUAAGCACAAUGACUGGGUGUUCACAUGUUUCUGUGACAAGUGCCUCCUUUAAGUCUCAUUACAUCAGCACGUGACCCACCCAUCUGACA